rnacentral:rRNA from 1 species
UCCGGUUGAUCCUGCCGGCGGCCACCGCUAUUGGAAUUCGAUUAAGACAUGCGAGUCGAGAGUCUUAGGGACUCGGCAGACGGCUCAGUAACACGUGGAUAAUCUGCCCUUGAGAGGGGGAUAACCUCGAGAAAUUGAGAAUAAUACCCCAUAGACCAUAGGUGCUGGAACUCGCCCUAUGGUUCAAAUGCUCCGGCGCUCAAGGAUGAGUCUGCGGCCUAUCAGGUUGUAGUGGGUGUAACGGACCCACUAGCCAGUGACGGGUACGGGCGUUGGGAGACGUUGCCCGGAGAUGGAUUCUGAGACACGAAUCCAGGCCCUACGGGGCGCAGCAGUUACGAAAACUUGUCAAUGUGGGAAACCACGAACAGGGAAUUCCAAGUGCAUGCGCAUUGCGUAUGCUGUUCACUUGCCUAAAAAGCAUGUGAAGUAAGGGCUGGGUAAGACAGGUGCCAGCCGCCGCGGUAAUACCUGCAGCCCGAGUGGUGGUCAAUAUUAUUGAGCCUAAAGCGUCCGUAGCCUGGUCGGUAAAUCCUUGGGUAAAUCGGGCAGCUUAACUGUCCGAAUUCCGAGGAGACUGCUGACCUUGGGACCGGGAGAGGUCUGAGGUACUCUAGGGGUAGGGGUAAAAUCCUGUAAUCCUUAGAGGACCACCAGUGGCGAAGGCGUCAGACUAGAACGGAUCCGACGGUAAGGGACGAAGCCCUGGGGCGCAAACGGGAUUAGAUACCCCGGUAGUCCAGGGUGUAAACGCUGCAGGCUUGGUGUCGGGGGUCCUACGUGGGCGUCCGGUGCCGGAGAGAAGUUGUUAAGCCUGCCGCUUGGGGAGUACGUUCGCAAGAAUGAAACUUAAAGGAAUUGGCGGGAGAGCACCGCAACGGGAGGAGCGUGCGGUUUAAUUGGAUUCAACGCCGGAAAACUCACCGGGAGCGACGGUUACAUGAAGGCCAAGCCGAUGACUUUGCCCGAUUAACCGAGAGGUGUUGCAUGGCCGUCGUCAGUUCGUACCGUAGGGCGUUCUGUUAAGUCAGAUAACGAACGAGACCCUCGCCCUUAAUUGCCAGCCUGUUCUUCGGAGCAGAGGAACAUUAAGGGGACCGCUAGCGCUAAGCUGGAGGAAGGAGAGGUCAACGGUAGGUCAGUAUGGCCCGAAUCUCCCGGGCAACACGCGCGCUACAAAGGAUGGGACAAUGGGCUCCGACGCCGAAAGGCGAAGGUAAUCUCGAAACCCAUCCGUAGUUCGGAUUGAGGGCUGUAACCCGCCCUCAUGAAUGCUGGAUUCCGUGGUAAUCGCGGGUCAACAUCCCGCGGUGAAUGUGCCCCUGCUCUUUGCACACACCGCCCGUCAAACCACCCGAGUUGGGUCUUAGUGAGGAUGCUCAUUUUUGGGGCGUUCGAACUGAGGUUCAGCAAGGAGGGUUAAGUCGUAACAAGGUA